rnacentral:rRNA from 1 species
GACGAACCGUGCGAACGUUGUUCGGAAUCACUGGGCUUAAAGGGCGCGUAGGCGGCUUGUCAAGUCAGGGGUGAAAUCUUUCGGCUCAACCGGAAAAGUGCCUUUGAUACUGACAGGCUUGAGGGAGGUAGGGGUAUGUGGAACUUCUGGUGGAGCGGUGAAAUGCGUUGAUAUCAGAGGGAACGCCGGUGGCGAAAGCGACGUACUGGACCUCUUCUGACGCUGAGGCGCGAAAGCUAGGGGAGCAAACGGG